GCCGAUGUGGUGAAAUUGGUAGACGCACUGGAUUCAAAAUCCAGCGGGGGCGACCCCAUCUCGGUUCGAGUCCGAGCAUCGGCACCA
rnacentral:tRNA from 1 species